GUAGCAAUACUUAGUGGCAGACGGGUGAGUAACAUGUAGNUAUCUGCCCUUUGGCCUGGAAUAACACGAGGAAACUUGUGCUAAUACCGGAUAAGUCUUUACGGAGAAAGCUUUAUGCACCAUUGGAUGAGCCUGCACUUGAUUAGUUUGUUGGUGGGGUAAUGGCCUACCAAGACUGUGAUCAAUAGCUGAUUUGAGAGGAUGAUCAGCCACAUUGGGACUGAGACACGGCCCAAACUCCUACGGGAGGCAGCAGUGGGGAAUCUUGCACAAUGGAGGAAACUCUGAUGCAGCGAUGCCGCGUGAGUGAAGAAGGCCUUUGGGUUGUAAAGCUCUUUCGUCGGGGAAGAAAAUGACUGUACCCGAAUAAGAAGGUCCGGCUAACUUCGUGCCAGCAGCCGCGGUAAUACGAAGGGACCUAGCGUAGUUCGGAAUUACUGGGCUUAAAGAGUUCGUAGGUGGUUGAAAUAGUUGGUGGUGAAAUCCCAGGGCUUAACUCUGGAACUGCCAUCAAAACUUUUCAGCUAGAGUAUGAUAGAGGAAAGCAGAAUUUCUAGUGUAGAGGUGAAAUUCGUAGAUAUUAGAAAGAAUACCAAUUGCGAAGGCAGCUUUCUGGAUCAUUACUGACACUGAGGAACGAAAGCAUGGGUAGCGAAGAGGAUUAGAUACCCUCGUAGUCCAUGCCGUAAACGAUGUGUGUUAGACGUUGGAAAUUUAUUUUCAGUGUCGCAGGGAAACCGAUAAACACACCGCCUGGGGAGUACGACCGCAAGGUUAAAACUCAAAUGAUUUGACGGGGACCCGCACAAGUAGUGGGAGCAUGNGGGUUAAUUUCAAAAUACNCGCANAACCUUACCAACACUUGACAUGUUCGUCGCGACUCUAAAGAA
rnacentral:rRNA from 1 species